rnacentral:rRNA from 1 species
UACAGAGGGUGCAAGCGUUAAUCGGAAUUACUGGGCGUAAAGGGCCUGUAGGUGGUUUCUUAAGUUAGAUGUGAAAGCCCUGGGCUCAACCUGGGAACUGCAUCUAAAACUGGGUGACUAGAGUAUGGUAGAGGGAAGUGGAAUUUCUAGUGUAGCGGUGAAAUGCGUAGAUAUUAGAAAGAACACCAGUGGCGAAGGCGACUUCCUGGAUCAAUACUGACACUGAGGGGCGAAAGCGUGGGGAGCAAACAGG